rnacentral:rRNA from 1 species
AACUCAAGUGGCGGACGGGUGAGUAACACGUAAGAAUUUGCCUUUAGGAGGGGGACAACAACUGGAAACGGUUGCUAAUACCCCAUAUGCUUUCGAGUGAAACGGAUUUAUCCGCCUAGAGAGAAGCUUGCGGCUGAUUAGCUUGUUGGUGAGGUAAUGGCUCACCAAGGCGACGAUCAGUAUCUGGUUUGAGAGGAUGAUCAGACACACUGGAACUGAGACACGGUCCAG